rnacentral:ncRNA from 1 species
UGAUAGAGGUGCGAAAAACAAUAGUAAACCUCAAUAUGCGGCAGACACCGCGUGGUUGAAAGGGUUUUUCGCCGAAGUGCCGGUCUUCUGUCUGGGAAAUCGGUGCUGGGUCGGCAGAUAACAUCUUCCGGACUGUCACUUACAAAGUGGAGCGCUGUCA